rnacentral:rRNA from 1 species
UACGGGGGGAGCAAGCGUUGUUCGGAUUUACUGGCGUAAAGAGCUCGUAGGCGGUUUGUCGCGUCGAAUGUGAAAACCCGGGGCUCAACCCCGGGCCUGCAUUCGAUACGGGCAGACUAGAGUACAGAAGGGGCAACUGGAAUUCUCGGUGUAGGCGGAUGAAUGCGUAGAUAUCGAGAGGAACACCUGCGGCGAAGGCGGGUUGCUGGGCUGAUACUGACGCUGAGGCGCGAAAGCCAGGGGAGCGAACGGG